AGUUGUUUUAAAAAAAUAAAGUAGCUUUGGCGCCCACUACUGGUAGAUGGCAACUAGGUUGAGUUGAGAAACUAUAAAUCCAGUGACUUGUCACCGUGAGAACGUCACCUUUUCGUGCGUAAAUUGUACUGACAACGCGUAUUUGAACAAAAUAGCACUCACAUAUUCCCGGUCCGACCGUGUUUCCUGUGGCCUUUCAACUCAGCAGGACUAAUUAAUUAAUGGCUGCAAAUAAGCUAUUAAAUGGAGCCCAGAAGUUGCCGGAGCAAAAUGGGGAGGUGAAAACAUCACAUGUCCCGGUCACGAUUGCAGCCAUCGCUGCUCCACAGCCCACAGCUGCAGCUGCCUCUAAUGUCGACCCUGUAGCUGCCACAGUUCAAGUGGCAGUCCCGCGGCCUCAGACAUCCUCCUCCCAGGUCGUUGUGGUAGCAAAGGUGACCACCUCAGGAGUGGUCAGUGCUAACAGCCAACUACAGGUAACAAAACCAGCUCUGAGCCAGGUGACCAGCAUAAACCAGGCCACAGUGCCGGGAAGGACGGUUGUGAUAACUGUACCCAGGCCAGCAGCUCCACAGCCGGUCACUGUAGCCCCACGACUGCCACAGACCUCUUCCCUUCCAGCUAACAUCCAGAUACCGUCAGGUAUGAUGCUGGUCCGCAGUGACAGCGGGCAGCUGAUGCUCGUAUCCCAGCAGGCAUUGGC